CGACCACCAGGGGUGGAGCCUGCGGCUUAAUUUGACUCAACACGGGGAAACUCACCAGGUUGAUUUUGGGCCUGGAACAGUGGAUUUAUUCCGCUAGUACUAAUCUUUACCCACGUGGGGGAAGCUAUGAGCCCCCGACUCGAGGCGUUGGGAGUCCGAAAGGACUUGGUUAGUGCGACACCAGCUGGUACAGGGAACGCUCCUUGCGGAGCCAACUCUGUGGCGAGCCCGAGUAGCGUCGGGCCGUCGCAACGCACGCUAAGCGGUGGGCCGAAAGGCUUAAGGUACGUGCUAAUCCCACGGGCAACCGUGGCUAUCCUGAAUAGUUCCGAGUUUACGAAGCAGGAUAGGGGUGGCAUAAAAGCCGCCUGUAUGUCACACAUAACAUUGGCUUCGCGAGGCAUUAAGAGAGAGGCAGUCGGUCAAGUGGUCUAUUGGACUACAACGGUCAGGGAAUGUGACCCCCUCCCUACCAACCCUCUACCCUCCGACUGACCACGCGAGCGUGCCGGCUCCUUCUCUUAUGAUCUGGGGAGGCUCGAUCGUACCUGAUGCGAACCAUUGGAAAUGUGACAAUGCCACACACCACGAGGAUUGACAGAUUGAGACUCUUUCUGAUUUGUGGGUGGUGGUGCAUGCCCGUUCCUAAUUGGUGAUGAUUUGUCUGCUUAAUUGCAUAACAAACAAAACUUAACCUGCUAAAUACCCCCCUUCCCUUUUGGGGCCCCAGCUUCUUAAAAGGAUAUCCGCUCCCCAUGAAUUUAGCAUAAGGUCGUUAAA
rnacentral:misc_RNA from 1 species